AUUUAGAUGAUCAGUCCCAAAUAGGACGAAGCGCGCGUCCUGUAU
rnacentral:hammerhead_ribozyme from 1 species